UCCGGUUUGUCACCGGCAGUCUCCCUAGAGUUCCCGCCAUUACGCGCUGGCAACUAGGGACAAGGGUUGCGCUCGUUGCGGGACUUAACCCAACAUCUCACGACACGAGCUGACGACAACCAUGCACCACCUGUCUCCUCUGUCCCGAAGGUCCUCGUUAUCUCUAACGUCUUCAGAGGGAUGUCAAGGCCUGGUAAGGUUCUUCGCGUUGCUUCGAAUUAAACCACAUACUCCACUGCUUGUGCGGGUCCCCGUCAAUUCCUUUGAGUUUCAGUCUUGCGACCGUACUCCCCAGGCGGAAUGCUUAAUGUGUUAACUUCGGCACCAAGGGUAUUGAAACCCCUAACACCUAGCAUUCAUCGUUUACGGCGUGGACUAC
rnacentral:misc_RNA from 1 species